rnacentral:rRNA from 1 species
GACAGAGGGUGCAAACGUUGUUCGGAAUUACUGGGCGUAAAGCGCGUGUAGGCGGCUUUGCAAGUCGGGUGUGAAAUCCCACGGCUCAACCGUGGAAGUGCAUUCGAAACUGCGAGGCUAGAGUCCUGGAGAGGAAGGUGGAAUGCUUGGUGUAGAGGUGAAAUUCGUAGAUAUCAAGCGGAACACCGGUGGCGAAGGCGGCCUUCU